UACGGGGGGAGCAAGCGUUGUUCGGAUUUACUGGGCGUAAAGGGCGCGUAGGCGGCCACCGCAAGUCAAUUGUGAAAUCUCCGGGCUUAACUCGGAAAGGUCAACUGAUACUGCGGGGCUAGAGUGCGGAAGGGGCAACUGGAAUUCUCGGUGUAGCGGUGAAAUGCGUAGAUAUCGAGAGGAACACCUGCGGCGAAGGCGGGUUGCUGGGCCGACGCUGACGCUGAUGCGCGAAAGCCAGGGGAGCGAACGGG
rnacentral:rRNA from 1 species